AAUAACAUAAUAAUAAAUUUUAAAACGAUACUUAUCUUCAGUGCUGUUCCUAUCUUUAAACGCCUAUAUUAGUAAUUUGUGAUGGUGGACUGCAGGAAGGAAGACAAUAAUGUGAAAUUCGAUUUUUACAAAUACUCUGCAUUUUCCAAUGCAGAAUGACGUGCAUUCCUAAAGCAUAAAAAUCGUAUUUUUCAUCUUUAUUAAAUCUUCCAAGGUUUUAUCUUUGGAGAAGAUGUAAAGAACAAAUUAAAAAUGCCAGAAAUAGUAAUUUAUGUAAAGUUAGUCAAUGGAAUACGAUAAAGUACGCGAACGUUAUCUCUCUAAAAGAAUAAAUGCUUUCAUGCAAGACCUUUCUAAAAGGAAGCUGACUCGUAUUCAUAUAACGAAUGAAAAAAAAUGCACAAAAGCAUCCAUGCAACUAGCUUGUGUCGAACUACCAGUGUUCAGGGGUUUUAGCCACUCAGCCACUGAUGGGCAUUUAUUCUUUCGAGGAACAAACUUCCUAAAUUCAAGGAAUGAGUUGAAAAGUAUCUAAAUAAAUCAAAAGCUUCUAAAUCAUGUUCUGAAAAACCUAUGAGGAAAUUACGGGAAGAAAUACGGUAUCUUUCGCCUACGCGAUAAAAUUCUUCAAAGCCGCAGAUUGAAGGUUAAACAACAAACAAAAUGAAAGUUUUAGUUAUUUAAACAUAAAAGGAAAGGCUGCGAUCUUAUCAUACAUUGUUAUUGUAAGAAGAGGAAAUAAUAGCAGCUGGCGGUAUCUGCACUCUGAACGAGAAGUCUACUUUCCUCUGGGCUCUUCAUGCGUGUCGAGAUAAACAGAGAGAUUGGUGGAUGAUGUCACCUGCUUGGAAAUUGCGUUGUAAAACUGCCAUUUAUCAUUGCCAUGAAAUUUUAUCGUAUUCGUGUAUAUACAAGGUGAUCAUAAAAAAGCUUCGCAGAUAUAUGAACACCUAGCGGUCUAUCCGUGGUGUAAGCAGUUAGCAUAUCCUAUUGGCAAAUGAGAAAUACAUGUUUAGAAUCCCGCUGAAUAUGGCAAAGAACACGAGAGUUAUCUGCCUAGCAAGAGGAGUACUUUGAUGGGAGAAUUUUCUAAGGAAAACUGACUCCUAUUCAGGUUGAACAUUGGGAAAACAUGCCGGUGGUGGUGGUGGGGGAAUAGCGUCCGAGGCUAUGGCAGCGAGAUCUCCAACCAUCUCUUGGAAUGACAGCAUGGGAGCCGGCUGGUAUAGCGUUGUAAUGAAUAGUAAUGUAUGUAAUAGUUAAUGAAUAGUAAUGUAUGUAAUGUUGUAAUGAAUGUAAUGCGUUGUACUAAUGUAAUUAAUGUCAAAAUUCAUUUUUGAAGCUGCAAUUCAUCUAAA